UACAGAGGGUGCGAGCGUUAAUCGGAAUUACUGGGCGUAAAGCGCGCGUAGGCGGCUUUGCAAGUCGGGUGUGAAAUCCCCAGGCUUAACCUGGGAACUGCAUUCGAGACUGCAUUGCUAGAGUAUGGGAGAGGGAAGUGGAAUUUCCGGUGUAGCGGUGAAAUGCGUAGAUAUCGAGAGGAACACCUGCGGCGAAGGCGGGUUGCUGGGCCGACACUGACGCUGAGGCGCGAAAGCUAGGGGAGCGAACGGG
rnacentral:rRNA from 1 species